UGGGGAAUAUUGCACAAUGGGCGCAAGCCUGAUGCAGCAACGCCGCGUGAGGGAUGACGGCCUUCGGGUUGUAAACCUCUUUUAGUAGGGAAGAAGCGAAAGUGACGGUACCUGCAGAAAAAGCACCGGCUAACUACGUGCCAGCAGCCGCGGUAAUACGUAGGGUGCGAGCGUUGUCCGGAAUUAUUGGGCGUAAAGAGCUCGUAGGCGGUCUGUCGCGUCUGCUGUGAAAACCCCGAGGCUCAACCUCGGGCCUGCAGUGGGUACGGGCAGACUAGAGUGCGGUAGGGGAGAAUGGAAUUCCUGGUGUAGCGGUGGAAUGCGCAGAUAUCAGGAGGAACACCGAUGGCGAAGGCAGUUCUCUGGGCCGUAACUGACGCUGAGGAGCGAAAGCGUGGGGAGCGAACAGGAUUAGAUACCCUGGUAGUCCACGCCGUAAACGUUGGGCGCUAGAUGUGGGGACCAUUCCACGGUUUCCGUGUCGCAGCUAACGCAUUAAGCGCCCCGCCUGGGGAGUACGGCCGCAAGGCUAAAACUU
rnacentral:rRNA from 1 species